CCCCUUGCUGCCUGUUUUCUUGCAUUCUUUUACCUUUAGAUUCUUACCUGUCAGCUAAAGACUACAGAAAUGCUGUCCUAAACUACUUUAAAUCAAUGUCACUCAAGGAUUUUUCAGAGAAUUCUUUCACUUAUUUUAUUUUUAUCGCUUUUGAGACAAGGACCAGACGACGUCCGGAGCUGCUCCACUUUUCAUGGCAGCACAAGCUAACCCGUACAAGAUUCCUCCCUUUUCCACAGAUGACUAGGACAAACUUCUUCAAAAAAUAACAGUGAUGGAAAUGAAAAUUAUUUGGCUUGAAGUGAAUGUGGAGGUAAAUGCUGGGUAUGGAAAUGAAACUGCCUUACCGAUGAUUCAAAACAGUGAUAAAACUGACAGGCAACUCAGUAGCACACCAAGAAACAGAAUGUUCCAAUUAAUGAGAGUAAACUGAGCAGUCCUCCCUAGAACUCUCAGCACAAAGCCAAAAGAUAAAUCCCUUCCUUCAGAUCUGGAAAGACGACUAACAGGAAGAACGAAACAGCUUGGGUUAAACCCCAGCAAAAAGGAGACAACAACAACGGACGGUUCUCAUAACAAAUGAUGAGAGUAAACCAACUGAAAACAGGAAUUCCUCUAGAAAACAGAUUUGCUUCACUGCAAAACUCUGACCCCUUAAGGAAAGUUCAUCUUUCACCGGAGAGAGACACCAGCUGCUUCGUCCACAAACAGGAGACAAGAGAGUACGAAACAACUGAUAGAAAGGCGUUCUGAAGGACAACUGCAGCCUACUGAGAUAAGGAUGAACGAUGGGAAAAAAAUGCCACAGUAAGAGACUCCCCAGACUCCAACAGGACAAGUGGACCCCCUCUUAGCCCCAACAGAGGACCCCAAACCUCUUCCCCCCUAGAAUGGUCAAGAUGGGAAUACAUACAACUUACUCGCGCCCAAAUCUCGAAAACUCCAGAAGACUCAGGUGGAGGCCUCAACAAUCUCCUGGAUUAAAGAUUAAAGACUACCUGAC